rnacentral:lncRNA from 1 species
AGACACCACGGAUGGCUGGCGGGCAGUUGACAUAGGCAGGACCUGGCUUGUGAGCUUGUCUCAGAUGCAUCAGAGCAUAAACCGGAGGAUGGGAGCCCCACUGAGGGAAGAGCCAGAUGUGGUGGUGCAUACCUAUAGUCCCAGGUACUCAGGAGGCUGAGGCAGGAGAAUCGUUUGGACCCAGGAGGUGGAGGUUGCAGUGAGCCGAGACUGCACCGUUGCACUCCAGCCUGGGCGACUGCGUAAGACUCUGUCUCAAACAAUAAUAAU